rnacentral:misc_RNA from 1 species
GAUGAAGAACGCAGCGAAAUGCGAUAAGUAAUGUGAAUUGCAGAAUUCAGUGAAUCAUCGAAUCUUUGAACGCACAUUGCGCCCGCCAGUAUUCUGGCGGGCAUGCCUGUUCGAGCGUCAUUUCAACCAUCAAGCCCCGGGCUUGUGUUGGGGACCUGCGGCUGCCGCAGGCCCUGAAAAGCAGUGGCGGGCUCGCUGUCACACCGAGCGUAGUAGCAUACAUCUCGCUCUGGGCGUGCUGCGGGUUCCGGCCGUUAAACCACCUUUUAACCCAAGGUUGACCUCGGAUCAGGUAGGAAGACCCGCUGAACUUAAGCAUAUCAAUAAGCGGAGGA